AAUGAACGCUGGCGGCGCGCCUAAUACAUGCAAGUCGAGCGAGAAGACGUAGCAAUACGUUUGUAAAGCGGCGAACGGGUGAGGAAUACAUGGGUAACCUACCCUCGAGUGGGGAAUAACUAGCCGAAAGGUUAGCUAAUACCGCGUACGCUCCUUGGACUUCGGUUCAGGGAGGAAAGCGAUACCGUGGGUAUCGCGCUCUUGGUUGGGCCCAUGUCCUAUCAGCUUGUUGGUGAGGAACGGCUCACCAAGGCUUCGACGGGUAGCUGGUCUGAGAGGACGAUCAGCCACACUGGCACUGCGACACGGGCCAGACUCCUACGGGAGGCAGCAGUAAGGAAUAUUGCGCAAUGGGCGAAAGCCUGACGCAGCGACGCCGCGUGGGGGAUGAAGGUCUUCGGAUUGUAAACCCCUUUCGGGAGGGAAGAUGGAACGAGCAAUCGUUCGGACGGUACCUCC
rnacentral:rRNA from 1 species